rfam:Medicago truncatula strain A17 chromosome 3, whole genome shotgun sequence.
UUAGGUUUUCUUCAUUUUCUUCUAUAAUUUUUUUUGGGAUUCUUGUUGUUGAAGGUUGAUGGAGAUGAUAUGAAGAUGAAAAAGAGGAGAAG